UAUCUUCAGGGCAGGGCGUAAUUCCCGACCGGCGGUAAAGUCCGCGAGCGCAAGCUGAACCGGUGUGAUUCCGGUACCGACAGUAUAGUCUGGAUGGAAGAAGAUG
rnacentral:ncRNA from 1 species